rnacentral:rRNA from 1 species
UCAGAACGAACGCUGGCGGCGUGCCUAAUACAUGCAAGUCGAGCGAAUGGAUUAAGAGCUUGCUCUUAUGAAGUUAGCGGCGGACGGGUGAGUAACACGUGGGUAACCUGCCCAUAAGACUGGGAUAACUCCGGGAAACCGGGGCUAAUACCGGAUAACAUUUUGAACCGCAUGGUUCGAAAUUGAAAGGCGGCUUCGGCUGUCACUUAUGGAUGGACCCGCGUCGCAUUAGCUAGUUGGUGAGGUAACGGCUCACCAAGGCAACGAUGCGUAGCCGACCUGAGAGGGUGAUCGGCCACACUGGGACUGAGACACGGCCC